rnacentral:lncRNA from 1 species
AUUUCUGAGCUUUGGGAAAAGUCGACAUCCCUGAUUUGAAGAGCAUAACAGUUCAUUCUUUAACGAUGUUAUUUUGUGUUGUGGUAUUAGUUUUAUACUGUGUUACAUGUUCACGUAUAACCUAGACAUCUUUUACAAAAUUUUCAAGUUGACAAGCACAUGUGGCAGGAUGUUUUGUCUCCUCCUUCUCCUGCCGUGUCUAGGUCAUCCAGACACGUACCCACCCUGGGGCAGGUCAGAGGAGCGCUCCUUGGCUACCCAGGAAGAGGCAGGAAUAGAACCACUGGAGACGGGGGAAACAAAGUGUAUGCCACGAAGAUACUGCCGGUGAGAAACAGAAAGUGACAAUUUUCAAAGUCAUUUUAGACCAGACCCAUUUGCUUGUAUGGAUGUGUGUGUGUUUACAACAGCCAUGCUCCCCCCGGCAAAGUAAAAUACACUGGAAAUGGGGGAGUAUGGCGUAGGGUGGGGUGAAGAAGAACGUGGCAAUGUUUUCAGUUCCUGAAUAACAGUCCCCGACUCGCCAGUGAGACACUGGACCACAGGCAGGAUGAAUGUUUGGGUCUGGACAACUGACUCCGUUGGUUGAUUUUUGCUACCUUGGCCCAAACAAGCAUGUCCACUAUCUUUCUUCUUGCUCCUGAAUCUCAGCGUGAUCAAGUAUCAAGAGACAAGCAAGCAGCCAAAUGGAGCAAAGAGAAGAGCAAUCAUUGCAAAGAAUUCCUGUGGGGUUCACUGGGGUUUUCAGAAAGUAAGGGAUGCUCAUGGUUGUGAGUGGACGUCCGACUUACCUGCUGUAGGUGAAGGUGGUUCUUCCUACAGAACGCUCUCUCCAGAAAGACAUCCCCUCUCUGGGACGUGAGGUGGAGUAGAAGGACUAACCAUCUAAAAUUGUCAGCUAUGUCAUUUCUUUUCAGCAUUAACUCAUUUCAGCCUGAAAAUCUUGACAAUGCAAAUUUGUUCUCCAGCGGGGGAGAGAGAAUGGGAGAAAGAAACAAUAUUCCUGCCUUUAAUCUGGUGAGAAUAAUCAGGAAGGAUGGGUGAGAGGCACCACGCGUUCUGUGCUGUGCUUUUGAAAAGAGAACAAAACACCAUGUCCAGAGAUAAAUUGUCAUCGUCUGAAGCUCCAGUUUUCUUACAAAUUCUUAAGGAAAUGUUGCCCCCUUCUGGACAAAAGGUACAAUAGACAGCCGCCACAGCCUUGCCAUCCAACCUGUUUAUAAACUCAUCUACCUGCGUUAGUCAGGAAGGGUUUUGCUCUGCUGUCUUUUCUGUCACUAUGCCUAGACAACACUAAUUCACUUUUAAAAAGUCACUAUACCAGCACGAAU